rnacentral:ncRNA from 2 species
GGGUGCGUGAUCCGGCCGUGGGUCAGCAGGCAAUGCCGCUGGUCGGGCCGCCAGCG